rnacentral:lncRNA from 1 species
AAAAUCCGGGUCAACAAGUUCUACAGGCCUGAGAACACCCACAAGUCCACUCCAGCGAGCUACCACGCAGACAUCAACCUGCUCUACUGGAGCGACGAGGAGGCCGUGGUGGACUUCAAGGCUGUGCAGGGCCGCUGCACCGUGGAGUAUGGGGAGGACCUGCCCGAGUGCGUCCAGGUGUACUCCAUGGGCGGCCCCAACCGCUUCUACUUCCUCGAGGUGGUGCCCCUGCUUGCUAGAGGGAAGGCUUCGGGGUCAAAGUUGGCCAGAAGGAGUCUGAUGUCGGGUUAUACACAAGGCGGCUUGGCUGCAGGGUUUCAGCUUUUGUAAGAAGUGGGUGGUUGGCUGACGUGAAGCUGUUCUGCAGGAGCUUUACGGGGGUCUGAGCAGGGUUCUCCAGAGCACAAGUUGUAUGAGAUUCAAGUGGUCCCGGAGUUUAACACUCCUGGUUUUUAAAAAGUACGUCAUUAGAGAACCUAACGUUUUAGUGUCUUGGUGCAACUGAACGUUGAGGACCAUGAGGCAGCUUCCACCAGCCUGACUGGUGUCU